rnacentral:rRNA from 1 species
CCGGUGCUUCUUCUUCAGUUAACGUCACACUUGAUGGGUAUUAACCAACAAGCUUUCCUCCCUGAUGAAAGUGCUUUACAACCCGAAAGCCUUCUUCACACACGCGGC